GCCAGGGUGGCGGAAUUGGUAGACGCGAUGGAUUCAAAAUCCAUUUCCCGCAAGGGAGUAGGGGUUCGAUUCCCCUUCCUGGUACCA
rnacentral:tRNA from 1 species